AAGUCGUAACAAGGUUUCCGUAGGUGAACCUGCGGAAGGAUCAUUAUUGAAUGAAUUUGGUGUGGUUGUUGCUGGCCUUCUUGGAGGCAUGUGCACACCUACCAUCCUCAUCUCUCCACCUGUGCACCUCUUGUAGAUUUGGAAUUGAUUAUCCGAGGCAACUCGGUCGUGAGGACUGCUAGCAUUUAGCUGGCUUUCUUUGCAAUUCCAGGUCUAUGUUUUUCAUAUACCCCAUUGUAUGUUAACAGAAUGUAUCAUUGGGCCUUGUGCCUAUAAACCUUAUACAACUUUCAGCAACGGAUCUCUUGGCUCUCGCAUCGAUGAAGAACGCAGCGAAAUGCGAUAAGUAAUGUGAAUUGCAGAAUUCAGUGAAUCAUCGAAUCUUUGAACGCACCUUGCGCUCCUUGGUAUUCCGAGGAGCAUGCCUGUUUGAGUGUCAUUAAAUUCUCAACCAUUAUCAACUUUUGCUGAUAAUGGCUUGGAUGUGGGGGUUAUUUUGCUGGCUUCUCAGAUAGUCAGCUCCCCUUAAAUGCAUUAGCCGGUGCCCCGCGUGGACUGUCUAUUGGUGUGAUAAUUAUCUACGCUAUGGACAUCUGCAAUCAUAUGGGUUUGCACUGCUUCCAACAGUCUGUUAAAGACAAUACAUGACAAUUUGACCUCAAAUCAGGUAGGACUACCCGCUGAACUUAA
rnacentral:rRNA from 1 species